rnacentral:rRNA from 1 species
CCUACGGGAGGCAGCAGUGGGGAAUAUUGGACAGUGGGGGGAACCCUGAUCCAGCCAUGCCGCGUGUGUGAAGAAGGCCUUAUGGUUGUAAAGCACUUUAAGCGAGGAGGAAGCUACUGAGACUAAUACUCUUGGAUAGUGGACGUUACUCGCAGAAUAAGCACCGGCUAACUCUGUGCCAGCAGCCGCGGUAAU